rnacentral:rRNA from 1 species
UACAGAGGAUGCAAGCGUUAUCCGGAAUGAUUGGGCGUAAAGCGUCUGUAGGUGGCUUUUUAAGUCCGCCGUCAAAUCCCAGGGCUCAACUCUGGACAGGCGGUGGAAACUGCCAAGCUGGAGUACGGUAGGGGCAGAGGGAAUUCCCGGUGUAGCGGUGAAAUGCGCAGAUAUCGGGAGGAACACCAAUGGCGAAGGCAGCUCGCUGGGACGGUACUGACGCUGAGGCGCGAAAGCGUGGGGAGCAAACAGG